GCCGGUAGGUCAGCACGUGACAUCAUUACAGUAUUUAGAGAUAGAGAGAAGCAGGGCGGCUACGGAUGUCCGGCUGAUUAUAAUUAUUCAUUAUUUUUGGAUUUGGGAAGUUAUUGUUUCUUCCGGCAACACAAGUAACAGAGGGAAGUAAAUUACUUUCAUCCAGACCUUACAACGUUGACUUGUUUGGUUGAACAAUGAUGAUACCCAUCAUCAGUCGAAGACGAAGUGCAACAGUCACACGAGUAUCCAGGCAACAUCUUUGGCAAUUCCUUUUGUUUUCCUUUAUUCUGCUGUUCUGUCACUCCACACAGUGUCUGGUGCGUAGUGGACGUUCAUCUUCUUCGCCGAACAAACUUACUCGGUGCCAUGGCCGUUGACAUUCAGUUUGUGACCACCUUCAUUGCUGCCGACUUUUGCUGGAACUAAAUCCUCCUCGUGACUGUAACCCGGGCCGUUACCUGCCACCCAAGGGGCACUUGGCUGACACCCGGGUACAAUAAAGGAAAAUGAGUCUACGACACAACAUUUUCUGGCGCUUUCUGGGAUACAGGAUCGUGUUAUCUUUCGCUUUCCUUAUAGUCGUUACGAUGACCUGGAAAUUUUCGUGGAAGGUGGAGAAAGUCGUCCUGCCGAAAGACUUUGGGGUCAAGCAACAGGGCCAGCAGGACUACAAUGUUUCCCGGUCUUCGACUGUGGCAUCGCCUCAUUCUUCACGUCUGCUUUGCCACAGGUUGGAGGGCCGAAUGGGAAACGAAAUGUUUCAGGUGGCCAGCAUCCUGGGUCUAGCGUGGGCGAUGAACAGGACUCCGGUAUUCGUUGGAGAGCUCCGGAUGAGCAGGUUUCUAGAGCGCUCGUUCAAGUUGCCCAAUCAGGCCGAGUUGGAGGACAGGUGUCACCGUGCGCAUACCCUUAACGAACGCAACUGCUACACCUUCGAACCCGCCUUUGCCAGCUCGAUCCCACUCAGGACUUCAAUCUCAGAAUCUACCUUCAGUCGUGGAAAUAUUUCGACAAGUUCGAGCGCAGGUCAAACAAGCGUUGGUCCUUCAACCAGAACGUGGUGAAGAAAGCGGCGAACCAUCGUCGAGAAGAUCAGGGACAGGCACAAGAAGGCCAUACUCAUCGGCGUUCACAUCAGGAGAGGCGACUUUGAGGCGGAAGGACAAAAGAGACGCGGGUAUCCGAUGGCAUCGCCGGGGUUUCUGAAAGCCUCCUUUACAUAUUUUCAAAGACUUUUUGCUAACUGCACUUUUGUGAUUGCGAGCGAGAAUACAAGAUGGUGCCGAGAAAACACACCGCCGGGUGCUCAAGUGGAGUAUCUGGAUGUACACUCGCCGGCAGUGGACAUGUCUGUGCUGGUCUCCAUGGACCACGUGAUAACAACGUUUGGCAGCUAUUCGUGGUGGAUAGGUUACCUGAACGAAGGGAUUACCGUGUACAUGAAGGACUUCAUCGUGCCAGGCACGCACAUCGGAAACAUGUUCACAAACCCUGACGAUUACAUCUACCCUGGAUGGGUCCCUGUGUAACUGUGUUUAGUCUUCGUGAGUCAAGACUUACCCCGAUUGAAAUUUUAUUUCCCUCUUUCUCUCUCCAAAAACCUGUGAAAACACGCAUGUUGAUGUAGUCGUCCAUGCCAUACAAUAGAAUGUCCUCACAAUUUCUUAACCUACAUAAUUAUUUUUACCUCAUGGACAUAGAGUUUCCAAUUUUAAUGUUUGUGGAAAUGACCAAGCACACUUAUCAGUAAAUUCAAUGUCGGUUACAGUUGUUAACGCCGAGGAAAUAAAAAGCAAGCAAUAAGUACAUAUCAAAAUAUGAAGAGAAACAAAUAAGUAAAUGUAAGAAGGGAUCAGUUAAUAAUAAACAGUUACUGGAGGUUAAGAACGAGGUAAUAAUUUAUGUUGUUCAAUGUGUCUGUACGUACCUCACUGUCCACUGGCUGUAAUCUUUCAUUUAUCAUUAUUAGUCUGCACAGCUACAACCUUUAACUCUUUUCUUCGAUGAUACAAAGUUCGCUUAAUGCAACAGUUUAAAUUUUGUGACGUACAUGGGAAACGGAUGUAUAUUUCCAAUUGAAGAAAUAAGCAUUUAUAUCUCAUUUGGAUUGAUAAUCUCUUUAAUUAUUAUAAACUACUUAAGAGACAA